GUGUCAGCCGCCGCGGUAAGACGGAGGGGGCAAGCGUUGUCCGGAGUUACUGGGCGUAAAGCGCACGUAGGCGGCCGUGUGCGUCGGUGCUGAAAGCGCCGGGCUUAACCCGGCGAGGCGUGCCGAUACGACACGGCUGGAGGCAGGCAGAGGGUGGCGGAAUUCCGGGUGUAGUGGUGAAAUGCGUAGAGAUCCGGAGGAACGCCGGUGGUGAAGACGGCCACCUGGGCCUGACCUGACGCUGAGGUGCGAAAGCGUGGGGAGCGAACCGGAUUAGAAACCCGCGUAGUCC
rnacentral:rRNA from 1 species